GACGGAGGAUGCAAGCGUUAUCCGGAAUUACUGGGCGUAAAGCGUGCGCAGGCGGUUUCGUAAGUCUGUUGUGAAAUCCCCGGGCUUAACCUGGGAAUGGCGAUGGAGACUGCGAGGCUAGAGUUUGGCAGAGGGGGGUAGAAUUCCACGUGUAGCAGUGAAAUGCGUAGAGAUGUGGAGGAACACCGAUGGCGAAGGCAGCCCCCUGGGUCAAGAUUGACGCUCAUGCACGAAAGCGUGGGGAGCAAACAGG
rnacentral:rRNA from 1 species